AGCUCCAAUAGCGUAUAUUAAAGUUGUUGCGGUUAAAAAGCUCGUAGUUGGAUUUCUGUUGAGGGUGACCGGUCGGCUCUUUGAGCGCGUAUCUGGUUCAGCCUUGGCAUCCUCUUGGGGAACGCUACUGUGCUUGAUUGCAUGGGGCGGUAUUCAAGACUUUUACUUUGAGGAAAUUAGAGUGUUCACUGCAAGCGUUAGCAAUUGAAUACAUUAGCAUGGAAUAAUAAUAUAGGACCUUGGUACUAUUUUGUUGGUUUCUAGAACUAAGGUAAUGAUUAAUAGGGACAAUUGGGGGCAUUCGUAUUAACGCGUCAGAGGUGGAAUUCUUAGAUUGCGUUACGACGAACUACUGCGAAAGCAUUUGCCAAGGAUGUUUUCA
rnacentral:rRNA from 1 species